UACGUAGGGUCCGAGCGUUGUCCGGAAUUACUGGGCGUAAAGAGCUCGUAGGCGGUGUGUCACGUCGGCCGUGAAAACCUGGGGCUUAACUCUGGGCGUGCGGUCGAUACGGGCAUCACUAGAGUUCGGCAGGGGAGACUGGAAUUCCUGGCGUAGCGGUGAAAUGCGCAGAUAUCAGGAGGAACACCGGUGGCGAAGGCGGGUCUCUGGGCCGAUACUGACGCUGAGGAGCGAAAGCAUGGGUAGCGAACAGG
rnacentral:rRNA from 1 species